rnacentral:rRNA from 1 species
CACGUAUUUAGCCGUUCCUUUCUGGUAAGAUACCGUCACACAUUGAACAGUUACUCUCAAUGUCAUUCUUCUCUUACAACAGUGUUUUACGAGCCGAAACCCUUCAUCACACACGCGGCGUUGCUCCAUCAGGCUUUCGCCCAUUGUGGAAGAUUCCCUACUGCUGCCUCCCGUAGGAGUAUGGGCCGUGUCUCAGUCCCAUUGUGGCCGAUCAGUCUCUCAACUCGGCUAUGCAUCAUCGUCUUGGUGAGCCAUUACCUCACCAACUAACUAAUGCACCGCGGGACCAUCUCUUAGUGAUAGCAGAACCAUCUUUUAAGUAGCAACCAUGCGGUUGCUAUUGUUAUACGGUAUUAGCAUCUGUUUCCAAAUGUUAUCCCCUGCUAAGAGGUAGGUUUCCCACGUGUUACUCACCCGUUCGCCACUCUUUGCAAUGUCCAUCGUCAUAUCUGAGCAAGCUCUUCAAAUCAGUUGAACCAC